CCCGGAUGUGAGCGGCGGAUGGGUGAGUAACACGUGGGUAACCUGCCUGUCAGAUUGGGAUAACUGUGGGAAACCGCAGCUAAUACCGAAUGAUCCCCUGCACCACAUGGUGCAGGGUUGAAAGAUGGUUUCGGCCAUCACUGACAGAUGGGCCCGCGGUGCAUUAGUUAGUUGGCGGGGUAACGGCCCACCAAGACAGCGAUGCAUAGCCGACCUGAGAGGGUGAUCGGCCACAUUGGGACUGAGACACGGCCCAAACUCCUACGGGAGGCAGCAGUAGGGAAUCUUCCACAAUGGACGAAAGUCUGAUGGAGCAACGCCGCGUGAGCGAAGAAGGUUUUCGGAUCGUAAAGCUCUGUUGCCGGAGAAGAAUGAGUAUGAGAGGAAAUGCUUGUACUGUGACGGUAUCCGGCCAGAAAGCCACGGCUAACUACGUGCCAGCAGCCGCGGUAAUACGUAGGUGGCAAGCGUUGUCCGGAAUUAUUGGGCGUAAAGCGCGCGCAGGCGGCUUCUUAAGUCUGAUGUGAAAUCUUGCGGCUCAACCGCAAAUGGUCAUUGGAAACUGGGAAGCUUGAGUGCAGAAGAGGAGAGUAGAAUUCCACGUGUAGCGGUGAAAUGCGUAGAUAUGUGGAGGAAUACCAGUGGCGAAGGCGGCUCUCUGGUCUGUAACUGACGCUGAGGCGCGAAAGCGUGGGGAGCAAACAGGAUUAGAUACCCUGGUAGUCCACGCCGUAAACGAUGAAUGCUAGGUGUUAGGGGGUCCAACCCUUAGUGCUGAAGUUAACACAUUAAGCAUUCCGCCUGGGGAGUACGACCGCAAGGUUGAAACUCAAAGGAAUUGACGGGGGCCCGCACAAGCAGUGGAGCAUGUGGUUUAAUUCGAAGCAACGCGAAGAACCUUACCAGGUCUUGACAUCCUCUGACAAGCCUAGAGAUAGGCCGUUCCCCUUCGGGGGACAAAAUGACAGGUGGUGCAGGGUUGUCGUCAGCUCGUGUCCUGAAAUGUUGGGUUAAGUCCCGCAACGAGCGCAACCCUUGAUCUUAGUUGCCAGCAUUCAGUUGGGCACUCUAAGGUGACUGCCGGUGACAAACCGGAGGAAAGGUGGGGAUGACGUCAAAUCAUCAUGCCCCUUAUGAUCUGGGCUACACACGUGCUACAAUGGGUGGUACAAAGGGCAGCGAAACCGCGAGGUCAAGCGAAUCCCAUAAAGCCACCCCCAGUUCGGAUUGCAGGCUGCAACUCGCCUGCAUGAAGCCGGAAUUGCUAGUAAUCGCGGAUCAGCAUGCCGCGGUGAAUCCGUUCCCGGGCCUUGUACACACCGCCCGUCACACCACGAGAGUUUG
rnacentral:rRNA from 1 species